AACGAACGCUGGCGGCAUGCCUAACACAUGCAAGUCGAACGAGACCUUCGUGUCUUUUGGCGCACGGGGGCUUACCGCGGGGGAAGCUGCCCUUAGGUUCCGUAUACCUCCCCGAGGGGUGUGCUAAUGCCGCUUGGUCUCUUCGGACCAAAGAUUUAUCGCCUUUGGAUGGGCCCGCGUUGGAUUCGCUGGUUGGUAGGGGAAAAGCAUGUCAUGGCGACGAUGCAGAGCUGGUCUGAGAGGAGGCUUAUCCACACUGGGACUGAGACACGGCCCAGACUGCUACGGGAGGGAGCAGUGGGGAAUAUUGGACACUGGGCGAAGGCCUGAUCCCGCAACGCCGCGUGAGUGAUGAAGGCGGUAGGGUUGUAAAGCUCUUUUACCCGGGAUGAUAAUGACAGUACCGGGAGAAUAAGCACCGGCUAACUCCGUG
rnacentral:rRNA from 1 species